rnacentral:ncRNA from 1 species
AAAAACACAGGUCUGUGCAAACCCGCAAGGGGAAGUAUACGGGCUGAAACCUGCCCGGUGCUGGAAGGUUAAUUGCGAGGGUGAUUAGUUUACUAAUUGCUUUCAAUAGAAGCCCCAGUGAACGGCAGCAGUAACUAUAACUGUUCUAAGGUAGCGAAGUACCUUGUCACUUAAUUGGUGACGCGCAUGAAAGGCUCAACGAGCCUCAUACUGUCUUGAACUACUACUCGGCGAAAUUGAGAUGGCCGUGAAGACGCGGCCUACUAACACCAGGACAAAAAGACCCCGUGAAGCUUUACUACAACUUGGCACUGGUCUUAUAUAUGGAAUUGUUUAGGAUAGGUGGGAGUUCCUUCAUUUAGUGAUGGAACAUCAGUGAAAUACCACUCGUUUUAUAUAUAGGACCUUACUUAAGACUAAUGCAAACUUAGUCAAGGACACUGUCUGGCAGGUAGUUUAACUGGGGAGGUUGCUUGCUAAAGAGUAACGCAAGCGCGCAAUGGUACCCUUAGUCUGGAUGGAAAUCAGACUGUACGUGCAAUAGCAUAUGGGUGCUUAACUGUGAGGCAUACGGGCCGAGCAGAUGCGAAAGCAGGUUAUAGUGAUCCUCGUGCACUUUAUGGAAGGUGCCGGGCUUAUCGGAUAAAAGCUACUCCGGGGAUAACAGAGUCAUCGCGCCUAAGCGUCCCUAGCGUCGGCGCGGUUUGCUACCUCGAUGUCGGCUCAUCGCAUCCUGUGGGUGAAGAAGCUCCCAAGGGUUUGUCUGUUCGCCAAUUAAAGCGGUACGCGAGCUGGGUUCAGACCGUCGUGAGACAGGUCGGCCUCUAUCCGGUGUUAGCGUUAGAAAGUUGAGGGAAUUUAUCUCUAGUACGAGAGGACCGAGAUGAGGGGAUCCCUAGUGUUCCUGUUGUUGCUGUCAAGCGCACCGCAGGGUAGCUACAUCCUUUAAGGAUAAUCGCUGAAAGCAUCUAAGCGAGAAGCCCCACCCAAGAUUAACUUUCUCCAUUAGACCCGUGGGAGACUACCACGUUGAUAGGUUGCCGGUGUAAGUAUGGUGACAUAUUAAGCCUAGCAAUACUAAGUGUCGAUUGAAUAAAUUAC